rnacentral:rRNA from 1 species
UACGAAGGGGGCUAGCGUUGUUCGGAAUCACUGGGCGUAAAGGGCGCGUAGGCGGCUUUAUAAGUCGGGGGUGAAAGCCUGUGGCUCAACCACAGAAUUGCCUUCGAUAUUGUAGAGCUCGAGACCGGAAGAGGUAAGUGGAACUGCGAGUGUAGAGGUGAAAUUCGUAGAUAUUCGCAAGAACACCAGUGGCGAAGGCGGCUUACUGGUCCGGUUCUGACGCUGAGGCGCGAAAGCGUGGGGAGCAAACAGG